GAUUCAACGGCCGCGGUACUCUGACCGUGCAAAGGUAGCACAAUCACUUGUUCUUUAAAUGAGGACUAGAAUCAACGGCAUCACGAGGGUCCCACUGUCUCCUUUUUCUAAUCAGUGAAAUUGAUCUCCUCGUGAAGAAGCGAGGAUAACUUUAUAAGACGAGAAGACCCCAUGGAGCUUAAAACUCAAUAGAUAACCCUACAACCACUAAAUAUUUUGGGGACCUAUCCAUUAGUUUUCGGUUGGGGUGACCGCGGAGAACAACCUAACCUCCGUAAUGAAAAGAAUAAAAUCAUAAUCUAAGAGUUACACCUCUAAGAAUUAAUAAAUUAACUUACAGUGAUCCAAUAUUUUAUUGAUCAAUGGACCAAGUUACCCUGGGGAUAACAGCGCUAUCCACUUCUAGAGUCCAUAUCGCCAAGUGGGUUUACGACCUCGAUGUUGGAUCAGGGUGUCCCAGUGGUGCAGCC
rnacentral:rRNA from 1 species